GACGCGUAACAUUUUGAAUGAUGGUUGGCAUACCUUGCUCUUUCCCACUGAUUGUUUUUUAAUACCUGUUAGGUACUCCAGUAAUAGUAAUUCACGAAAACCAGACAUAGUGUGUUGGCUAGUCUGUCUCUACAAAAUAGGUUGCAUUCUUACAUAGGCAACAACAUAGGACAAUUAUAACCUAUUUUCUGGAGAUUAUUAACAUUUAAAAAGAAACGUUGGCAUGUAGCUGACAGUGAAAAACCCUAAGUACAUUCUUGCUUUCUGUGUUUCUUCUUUUCUUGUUUACAUAGUUUUCUCUGGUGGCUGCGGUGGUAAGUGCUCAGCUGCAAGUGGCAAGUGGUGAGCAGUAUGGGACCAGUGACCCUAAAGAAGAUCUAAGUCUGCUUCCUUUGAGAUUUACGAGUGGCUGGUGGUUUCAAACUGCUGAUCUUGCAGUUAGCAGCCCAAAGUAUAACAACUAUGAUACCAGGACUCCUAUAUUUGCCAAAGAAAGACAGACUUGCCAAAUGUGUGAAUGAAUAUAUUUUCCACAUCCCCCAAAUCUUACUACAAGAAAUUCCCUAUCAAGAAAAAGGAAGGAGUUUUCAACCCGUUGAGUCUUUUUUCCUAUUUGAUUGACCGUUUCAUUGUUCUAUUAUUUCUCUACAACUAGAGUUUCUAUGAGGCCCAUAUCAUUUAUGUAAAAAAAGUUUCGCUUUGUUUUUUAUUAUAUGAAUUCUCUAUUAGUUUUAGAACUCAUUUUAGAAUGACAUAGCUAAUGACAAUUAUUCUUCUUGUAAUAACUUAAAAGAAAGUAGGUAUGGAGUUUAUAUUUGCAACAAUGUUUAAUUUCACAGAAUGCCAACCAACUUUUAUUAGAUAAGUGUCAUUUCACUCUCACUGAAAGAGAAGACUGUGUUUCUGGUAGCUUAAAAAUAUCAACUAACAUUCAGCAAUCAAAGGCAUUUUUAUGAUUGUAAUUCUUUACAGUUUCUAUUUAUGAGAUGAGUAAAUGUGUCCAUUGGAAUAAAAACGAAGAGAUACUA